rnacentral:rRNA from 1 species
UUUAAGAUGGGGACAACCUUCCGAAAGGAGGGCUAAUACCGAAUGAGACCACAGCCACAUAAGUGGCAGGGGUUAAAGAUGGCCUCUACUUGUAAGCUAUCACUUUAAGAUGGGCCUAAGCACCAUUAGCUUGUUGGCAGGGUAACGGCCUACCAAGGCUACGAUGGUUAGCUGAUCUGAGAGGUUGAUCAGCCACACUGGAACUGAGACACGGUCCAGACUCCUACGGGAGGCAGCAGUGGGGAAUUUUGCGCAAUGGGGGAAACCCUGACGCAGCGACGCCGCGUGGGUGAUGAAGGCCUUCGGGUCGUAAAGCCCUGUCAAGGGGAAAGAAAACGGUAUGGCUAAUAUCCAUACCGCUUGACGGUACCUCUGGAGGAAGCACCGGCUAACUACGUGCCAGCAGCCGCGGUAAUACGUAGGGUGCAAGCGUUGUUCGGAAUUAUUGGGCGUAAAGAGCGUGUAGGUGGCUAGGAAAGUUGGGUGUGAAAUCCCUGGGCUCAACCCAGGAAGUGCAUCCAAAACUACUUAGCUAGAGGACGAGAGAGGGAGGUGGAAUUCCUAGUGUAGAGGUGAAAUUCGUAGAUAUUAGGAGGAAUACCGGUGGCGAAGGCGGCCUCCUGGAUCGAUCCUGACACUGAGACGCGAAAGCGUGGGGAUCAAACAGGAUUAGAUACCCUGGUAGUCCACGCCGUAAACGAUGAGUACUAGAUGUUGCGGGAAUUGACCCCUGCAGUGUCGCCGCUAACGCAGUAAGUACUCCGCCUGGGAAGUACGGUCGCAAGGCUAAAACUCAAAGGAAUUGACGGGGGCCCGCACAAGCGGUGGAGCAUGUGGUUUAAUCCGAUGCUACGCGAAAAACCUUACCUGGAUUUGACAUCCUCGGACAACCCUAGAGAUAGGGCUUUCUCUUCGGAGGCCGAGUGACAGGUGCUGCAUGGCUGUCGUCAGCUCGUAUCGUGAGAUGUCGGGUUAAGUCCCUUAACGAGCGCAACCCUUAUCCCUAGUUGCCAUCAUUUAGUUGGGCACUCUAUGGAGACUGCCGGUGUUAAACCGGAGGAAGGCGGGGAUGACGUCAAGUCCUCAUGCCCUUAUAUCCAGGGCAACACACGUGCUACAAUGGCCGGUACAGAGAGUUGCCAACCCGCGAGGGGGAGCUAAUCUCAGAAAGCCGGUCUCAGUUCGGAUUGGAGUCUGCAACUCGACUCCAUGAAGUUGGAAUCGCUAGUAAUCGCGGAUCAGCACGCCGCGGUGAAUACGUUCCCGGGCCUUGUACACACCGCCCGUCACACCACGAAAGUCAAUUGUACCAGAAGUCGCUGGCCUAACCGUAAGGAGGGAGGCGCCCAAGGUGCGGUUGAUGAUUGGGGUGAAGUCGAAACAAGGUA